UGUGAGACCUCUCAAGCCACAUGGAACGUUACAGGUUUGUGUGAGGCCCAACUUUCUUCAUCUACUUCAACCAAAACAAUGUAUCAUCUCAGACUGGGUGCAGAAGCAGCUAUGGAACCACAGCUGUUUUCUAUUAAGCCAGACAUUAAAGCAACUUAUAAAAAUGUGAAACGAUGCCACUCUUCUCACUAAUAUUUUCAUUGAAAGUAUCUUAUUU
rnacentral:lncRNA from 10 species